GACGAACGCUGGCGGCGUGCUUAACACAUGCAAGUCGAGCGGUAAGGCCCUUUCGGGGGUACACGAGCGGCGAACGGGUGAGUAACACGUGGGUGACCUGCCCUCAGCUCUGGGAUAAGCCUGGGAAACCGGGUCUAAUACCGGAUAUGACUCCAUGACGCAUGUUGUGGGGUGGAAAGCCUUGUGCGGCUGAGGAUGGGCCCGCGGCCUAUCAGCUUGUUGGUGGGGUNAUGGCCUACCAAGGCGACGACGGGUAGCCGGCCUGAGAGGGCGACCGGCCACACUGGGACUGAGACACGGCCCAGACUCCUACGGGAGGCAGCAGGUGGGGAAUCUUGCGCAAUGGGCGAAAGCCUGACGCAGCGACGCCGCGUGAGGGAUGACGGCCUGG
rnacentral:rRNA from 1 species